CUACGGGUCGCACCAGUGGGGAAUAUUGCACAAUGGGCGAAAGCCUGAUGCAGCCAUGCCGCGUGUGUGAAGAAGGCCUUAGGGUUGUAAAGCACUUUCAGUAAGGAGGAAGGCUUGUUGGCUAAUACCCAUCAAGUUUGACGUUACUUACAGAAGAAGCACCGGCUAACUCCGUGCCAGCAGCCGCGGUAAUACGGAGGGUGCAAGCGUUAAUCGGAAUUACUGGGCGUAAAGCGCACGUAGGUGGCUUGUUAAGCUGGAUGUGAAAGCCCCGGGCUCAACCUGGGAACUGCAUCCAGAACUGGCAGGCUAGAGUACGGUAGAGGUGAGUGGAAUUUCCUGUGUAGCGGUGAAAUGCGUAGAGAUGGGAAGGAACAUCAGUGGCGAAGGCGACUCACUGGACUGAUACUGACACUGAGGUGCGAAAGCGUGGGUAGCAAACAGGAUUAGAUACCCCGGUAGUC
rnacentral:rRNA from 1 species